CGACCGGGCGCCGUGACGGGCGCUGCCCGCGUGUGCCCCCCGGCCCGCGGAGCCCCGGCCGCCGGGUGAAGGGCCGGGCUGGGGGCUGCCCGCGGUGCGAAACACCUCCCGUCUGCCCCGGUGGAUGUGCUUAGAUACAAAUGUUUAUAUCCGCGGAUAUGCGAGUAUCCGGCUAUUGUCGCAUCCAGCUACUAAAUAACAACCCUUUAACAAAAAAAAAAAAAAAAAAAAAAAAAGGAAAAAGAAAAAAGAAAAAAAAAAUCCAAAACAAAACACCCCACACAAGCCAUAACGACGAUGAUGAUGCUGACGGGAGGGGGGGGGAAAUAAAUAAAUAAAAGCGAGCGAGAGUCGGCGAGGGAGAGGGAGGCAGGUUCAAUUAUCUAAACAAAGAAAUCAUGGCGGAGUGUUUACAUUUGGCUGCCCAAAGCCUGUCGGAUUACGGACCCCCCCCAAACACACCCGGCCCCCCCGGCCCCCCGCAGUAGCGGCGUGCCGCAGCCCGCCCGCCGACACCUCGCCGCGGCCCGGCUUGAAGUUUCAUCCUGGAGUCUGAAACAGCUGCUUUGAAGAGAUCUUUCACAUGAAUGACUAGGCUGUGAAUUGCUAAGUUCCUGGUUUGCUAUGGAUACAACUGUUUCAUUUUCCUGCUGCUGCAUCCUGUUAUUCUUCCCAAGAUUUUUGUGCAGAACAGGGCAGAGAGAACUCACCUGCAGCCAGUGGAUUUGACUGUUGAUAAGAAGGAACAGAUGGCAGCACCAUUCUGUCUCAGCACCAAACACUGUCUGGGAGAUGUAUGCAAUGUAAAAAGCAUCCCUGUGUGGAGAAGCAGAUAGUGCUCCUGCAAAGGGACAAGAGGAAACCAGGAACAAGCUGUUGAUCUUCUCUAAUGCUAAUGAAUAUAUUAAACAACACCAGUCCUAAUACUGACUACUGCAGCACUUUAUGGUGAGCCUUUUAGCAAGCUAGCAAUCAACAAUUUAUUUCUACCCUUUUGUUUCUGUCUUUGGCUGUCUUUGUUUAACAAACAUUUAUUUUCAAAGCAUUACUAUUUCCAAGUGUUCUGUUGAGAGCCCUCCCACAGAGUGCAGGGACAAAUGCAUGACUCUGACCCCACAUGUCCAGUGACAUCUAACACUGAUGCUCUAAAUACAGUGUUUGCAGGGCUGCUAAGGCUACAAGCAGGUCAACUCCACUGCAGAGCAGUAGACUUGAUUAGUCUCUGGAAAUAGAGAUGCAGGUACUGGCAGAUUUGACUCAGCCUAUUCCAUAUCCAAAAAGAAAAGGGAGAGGUGAGAGAGACUGAUUUAUGCAGCUUGCUGAAAAGAGACUUCUUUUUCUUUUUUUAAACCCUGGCUGUAAAAACAAAACUGCUGCCCAGCCAGAGUAAGCAGUCAUAUACCACAGGUCCCCUUACAGUAAGACUGAUGUUCUGCACUGAGGUUCAAGGAGCAAAACAAAUAACCCUGCUCCCAGUGCCAUGAUUUGAAUUUGCUUUCGGCCAGUUGGUUACCAGCUUUCAAGGGACCAUUGACAUGCCUAUGGUGCUGCCUGGAGCAAAUUGCAACAUAUUUGGUGCUGAAACAUGCAUUGUGUAGUGAUUAUUAUUAUCCUCAUAACCUCUGUUUCAUAUUUGAAUGCUGCUGGGACAUGGAGAACAAUGGUCAUCCCUUGCUUUGUUUUUCUUGCUUGGCUUUAAUGGCUGGGGUUUGAUUUUGUCAACAGACAGUACUUGUAACUUUUGUGAGCUUUAGUUUCUUCCAGCCAUUGAAAUUAAUUGUCUUGUAGCUCUUUGUCAGACAGAGAUGUGUUCGCUUUGUGAAUUGGAAAUUGAGAGAUGGAAGUAUUCUGACAGCUCCCAGGGAAGGAUGGAAACCCUCCUAUUCACAACCUACUCAUCACAGCACUGGGGAGAAGAUUCAUGUACCUAGUGCGACAGGAGGGGCAGAGCAGGGCAAGGACGUGGCAGCUUGCAUCAUUCCCCUGCUGCUGGCAAGGCAAGUCCCUUGCCACCAGCCACUCUCUGCACUCAGUUCCCCGCAGGGCUCCGUUUCCUGCCCUCACUCCUUCCUGUGCUUGAGUGGUGGCUCCUACCUUAAAGCAGCUAUUUUCAAGUUUUAAUAAUGUUUUGCAACUCAUUUCCUGUUUCUUAGCUGACAGCCUUUCCAAAAGUAAUCUUUGGCAGGUACUAAUUUGGGUGAUGACCACUUGAUCUACAUUUUUGGUGGGUAAUUACUGAGUCAGAAGUGAGCAAAUUUGAUAUCCCCUGACAGUCAGUAAGGCGGGCAUAUUUACUACCCACUCAUUAAAGAUUCACUGGUGGUGAAAUGCCCUAAAGUUUGCACUCCUCUCACACAUGAGAAAAAUUUGUCUGUUAAGUCCCAGAAGUUACCACUUACGUUUAUUUUGUCAGAUUUACAGAGUCUAAGAUAUGUUGGCACUUUGAAAAACAACUUUUUUUAAGACCAGAUACCUUGGUGUAAUGAAACUACCACUAGAU
ensembl:lncRNA